AACGAACGCUGGCGGCAGGCCUAACACAUGCAAGUCGAGCGGACCUUUCGGGGUCAGCGGCGGACGGGUGAGUAACGUGUGGGAAUAUGCCCUUCUCUACGGAAUAGUCCUGGGAAACUGGGGGUAAUACCGUAUACGCCCUUUGGGGGAAAGAUUUAUCGGGGGAGGAUGAGCCCGCGUUGGAUUAGGUAGUUGGGGGGGUAAUGGUCUACCAAGCCGACGAUCCAUAGCUGGUUUGAGAGGAUGAUCAGCCACACUGGGACUGAGACACGGCCCAGACUCCUACGGGAGGCAGCAGUGGGGAAUCUUAGACAAUGGGGGCAAUCCUGAUCGAGCCAUGCCGGGUGAGUGAUGAAGGCCUUAGGGUUGUAAAGCUCUUUCAGCUGGGAAGAUAAUGACGGUACCAGCAGAAGAAGCCCCGGCUAACUCCGUG
rnacentral:rRNA from 1 species